ensembl:lncRNA
CUUUAUUCGAGGCCAGCUCUGCAGGCUGCCCCGCACAGCUAUUCUGGUCGCUUCCUCUCCAAGUUCCUGUGAUUGUUGGGCUGGCAUUGUGUGAGACACCCGCCACGCUUCCUCCCAUGCUCGCUCACAGCUGGGAACAGCCUCCUCUGGCUCAUUUUCCUUUGUUCACUGAAGCAUCCUGAAGUCAUCCAACCUUUAACACCACUGUGGCCGAGCUCGGUGAUGGCAGCCCUGUGCUUUGCAGGCUGUUGGAGCGGCCUCCCACAGGAUGGUGAUGGGGCUCGUCACAGUGCAUGGGAUAACUCAGGGAUGUCUUUCUGCCACCCCACCCUCCCUAUCUGUCCUGCGAGGCUUUCCAGCCUCCUUCACGUCAGUGCAAAUGAGGCUGUGCAGCUCUGCGCAGUCCCUACAGACUUGGAGGGGAGAGGGAGGAGCAGUGCCAGGACUGCUAUCGCUGCGAGGGAGUGAACGCCCAGCAUCAGCCAGAUAAGGACCCGGGCUGAGGUUAGCAUUAAGCUCACUUUCUCAGCAGAUAGCAGGCAGGGGAGGUUGCAUCCCAUCAAUGAGAAGUGCCAUUCCAAGAAAGUCUAAAUCUGUCCUCUCCUUUCCAGAUCGAGUUGUGAUGCUUUUCAUUUUCUAAGUUUUGAGUUUGCUCUGAUGUCCAAUGACUGCCACAACCGUGGCCCAGCUGAGGACCUCACCCUGCCAAUUGCUGCUGUUUGUGCCAGGUGCUGGUGUUGUACCAGCUGUUGGUGUUGUACCAGGUGCUGGUGUAGUACCAGGUGUUGAUGUUGUGCCAGGUGCUGGUAUUGUGCCAGGUGUUGUUUUUGUACCAGGUGUUGGUAUUGUACCAGAUGCUGGUGUUGUACCAGAUGGUGUCGUGCCAGGUGAUCAUGUUCUACCAGAUGUUGGUGCAGUGCCAGGUGGUGGUGUUGUGCCGGAUAUUGGUGCUGUGCCAGGUGCUGGGGUUGUGCCAGUUGGUGGUGGUGUUGUGCCAGGUGGUGGUAUUGUACCAGGUGCUGGUGUUGUGCCAGGCACUGUGACACAGAGCCCACAGGGAGAUGGCCAACAGCAACACUUCACACGUGCUGGAGAUGCCCUGCAGGAUAUUUUCCAUUUGUCAUACACCAUAGUGCUUCCCUUGACUCAUUUUCCCCUCAUACCGACUUGCUGUUUCUUAAGGAGAAAGAAAGAAAACAGACAACUAUUAAGACUAAGAUUUCCCAAAUACCUUCUUUGAGACUUCUGGUGACGAUCAAGUGUAGCAUAACAUUAAAUAUUUAGUAUGUCCUCUCAAGAAGGAUUUGUUCUUU